CUCUUGCAACCCGACUUGAACGGAGCUCUUUUUUAUAUAAUUUUUUAUGCGGUGUGAUAGUUUAAAAAUUUUAUAAAAAAAGCGGGAGUGGAAGGCGGAUUAGUUG
rnacentral:misc_RNA from 1 species